rnacentral:rRNA from 1 species
UACGGAGGAUGCAAGCGUUGUCCGGAAUUAUUGGGCGUAAAGAGCUCGUAGGCGGUCUGUCACGUCGGAUGUGAAAACCCGGGGCUCAACCCCGGGCCUGCAUUCGAUACGGGCAAACUAGAGUUCGGUAGGGGAGACUGGAAUUCCUGGUGUAGCGGUGAAAUGCGCAGAUAUCAGGAGGAACACCGGUGGCGAAGGCGGGUCUCUGGGCCGAAACUGACGCUGAGGAGCGAAAGCGUGGGGAGCGAACAGG